rnacentral:rRNA from 1 species
AUUGAACGCUGGCGGAAUGCCUUACACAUGCAAGUCGAACGGUAACAGGUCUUCGGAUGCUGACGAGUGGCGAACGGGUGAGUAAUAUAUCGGAACGUGCCCAGUCGUGGGGGAUAACGUAGCGAAAGUUACGCUAAUAACGCAUACGAUCUAUGGAUGAAAGCGGGGGAUCGCAAGACCUCGCGCGAUUGGAGCGGCCGAUAUCAGAUUAAGUAGUUGGUGGGGUAAAGGCUCACCAAGACAACUAUCUGUAGCUGGUCUGAGAGGACGUACAGGCACAGUAGAACUGAGAGACGGUCCAGACUCCUACGGGAGGCAGCAGUGGGGAAUUUUGGACAAUGGACGCAAGUCUGAUCCAUCCAUUCCGCGUGCAGGAUGAAGGCCCUCGGGUUGUAAACUGCUUUUGUACGGAACGAAAAGGUCUCUAUGAAUACUAGGGGCUCAUGACGGUACCGUAAGAAUAAGCACCGGCUAACUACGUGCCAGCCGCCGCAGUAACAC